CCAGACUCCUACGGGAGGCAGCAGUGAGGAAUAUUGGUCAAUGGGCGCAAGCCUGAACCAGCCAAGUCGCGUGAGGGAUGACGGUCCUAUGGAUUGUAAACCUCUUUUGUCGGGGAGCAAGGCCCGCCACGUGUGGCGGGAAGGAGAGUACCCGAAGAAAAAGCAUCGGCCAACUCCGUGCCAGCAGCCGCGGUAAUACGGAGGAUGCGAGCGUUAUCCGGAUUUAUUGGGUUUAAAGGGUGCGCAGGCGGAGGUGCAAGUCAGCGGUUAAAUUGCGGGGCUCAACCCCGUACUGCCGUUGAAACUGGCGUUCUUGAGUGGGCGAGAAGUAUGCGGAAUGCGUGGUGUAGCGGUGAAAUGCGUAGAUAUCACGCAGAACUCCGAUUGCGAAGGCAGCAUACCGGCGCCCAACUGACGCUGAAGCACGAAAGCGUGGGUAUCGAACAGGAUUAGAUACCCUUGUAAAU
rnacentral:rRNA from 1 species